UACGAAUGGGGCAAGCGUUGUUCGGAAUCACUGGGCUUAAAGCGUGCGCAGGCGGAUAUGAAAGUCAGGAGUGAAAUCCCAGAGCUCAACUCUGGAAUUGCUUUUGAAACUCCAUAUCUAGAAUCCGGUAGAGGUUAGUGGAAUUCCGAGUGUAGAGGUGAAAUUCGCAGAUAUUCGGAGGAACACCAGUGGCGAAGGCGACUAACUGGACCGGUAUUGACGCUCAGGCACGAAAGCGUGGGGAGCAAACAGG
rnacentral:rRNA from 1 species